rnacentral:lncRNA from 1 species
UCUCCUGUGGCUUAGCUCAGCGAUCAGGGAGGAGCCAGUUAAGAAGUCACAGUCGAAGCCAUGACUGCUGUGUCCCGGGGAGGCAGUGGAAGGCGAGGAGCACGGAGCGGGGAUACCGCCGGACAACCCCUCCCCGCCGCCCCGUCGGCGUCCUCGCUGCGCAGGGGCUCCCUUGCUGCCCCAAUCUAAAAGGAAGCCGUCGCGGCCCAGGGCACGGGAGACUGGGUUUCAGCCCAGAGCCCAACACAGCGCCGGUAGAGAAAGUAUCGAAUCCCACCAAAGGAAACAGGACAUCCUAAGAUGGCCGCUGAAAUCACUACCCUUGCUGAUGGAAACUCACAUCUCUGAGCCUUUGGCAAGGGCUUUAAUAAAUUCUCCUUC